AUAAAUUUCAGAGAGGAAAACAACAAUUAUUAUGAGUCAUUUUCAGAAAGAGAAAAAAAGCAAAUGGCACCAUAAAAUAUAUCGUGCACAAAAUGGAAAAUGGAAAAUACAUAUUUCAGCUCCCAUUUCAUUCAGUGAUGUCUCCAACUAAACUGGAUUUAAGACCUUGUUGUUGGAAAUUAAAUUCUUCCCUGUGCUUUGGUCUUGGCUGUUUGAAACAAGACUGUCUAUACUAGCCUCUCCAGUGAUGCCCACAUUGUCAAGGAAGGACUGGAAUUUGACUCUUGAGAAGAACCACUUACCUACGGGGAGAAAUUCUGCACCAUCCAAAAGUCUGCACCAUCCCUUUCAUUAACCAAUGCAGAGAAGUGAACAUCACAUAUGUGAGGCACAGCAUCCUUUAGGAAGAGCACAGUUAUUCCUGGUUGUGAAGCCGGCCAGCCUUUCCCCCAUGGGUCCAGCACAUCAUUUCAAACCGGAGUAAAAACUCCCUUUGGGGCACAUGCCAUGAGAUAAACAGGGUGCAUCUUCCUAAGUGCUUCCAUCGGACUUGAUGAGAGUCAAGGGACCUCACCAUGGCAUCGGCGCCCUCCCAUGGCACUGCUCUCCAGUAUUCCUCCUUAAGAACCCUGCACUCCAGUCACACUGGAUUACUUGUGGUGUCCCCAACACACCAGGCACGUGUAAUGCCUCUGUUCACCCUUUAUCUCCACCUUGUGUCCUGACCAAGCUUCAUCUUUCAAAGCCCAGCUCACAUGGCACCUUUGCUUAGUGGGAUUGGUGAUUCUUUUAUCUCUAUUCUCCCAUCCCCUCCAUUAAAGCACAUUUCAU
rnacentral:lncRNA from 1 species